CUCAGUUUCCCCAAUUUCCCUCUUUUCCCCCCAGUUUCCUCCUGGACCGCCUCCUCCAGUACGAAAACGUCGACGAUGAUUCCUCAGACUCAGAGGCGACGGCGUCGUCCGACAACAGCGACGGGGACGGCGCCAAGGGGGCGGAGCCAACGCCCGCCAAGAGGCGCCGCUCGCCCUCCCCUCCCCCGCCGGCUUUUGGCCCCUCCCCCUACAUGGUG